UCCCGCUUGACGCGGGCAGUCUCCCUAGAGUUCCCGGCAUCACCCGCUGGCAACUAAGGACAGGGGUUGCGCUCGUUGCGCCACUUAAGGCAACACCUCACGGCACGAGCUGACGACAGCCAUGCACCACCUGUGCAGGCUCCGAAGAGCACCCGCUUUCACGGGUUUCACCCUGCAUGUCAAGCCCAGGUAAGGUUCUUCGCGUUGCAUCGAAUUAAGCAACACGCUCCGCUGCUUGUGCGGGCCCCCGUCAAUUCCUUUGAGUUUCAAUCUUGCGAUCGUACUUCCCAGGUGGGAUACUUAAUGCUUUCGCUCAGACACUUGCUGUGUAUCGCAAAUGUCGAGUAUCCAUCGUUUAGGGCGUGGACUAC
rnacentral:misc_RNA from 1 species